GUGCUUUUGCACUAUGGCAAUAAAUGCAUCUUAGAAUAAAUGUAUUGGACCCGAGGGCAGUGCUCGGCAUCUCCACCA
rnacentral:tmRNA from 2 species